UACGUAGGGUGCAAGCGUUGUCCGGAAUUAUUGGGCGUAAAGAGCUCGUAGGCGGUCUGUUGCGUCGAAUGUGAAACCUCGAGGCUUAACCUCGAGCCUGCAUUCGAUACUGGGCGGCUAGAGUCUGGUAGGGGGAUCUGGAAUUCCUGGUGUAGCGGUGGAAUGCGCAGAUAUCAGGAGGAACACCGGUGGCGAAGGCGGCUCUCUGGACCACAACUGACGCUGAGGCGCGAAAGCUAGGGGAGCAAACAGG
rnacentral:rRNA from 1 species